AUUGAACGCUGGCGGCAUGCUUUACACAUGCAAGUCGAAUGGCAGCGCGGGCUUCGGCCUGGCGGCGAGUGGCGAACGGGUGAGUAAUACAUCGGAACGUGCCCAGUAGUGGGGGAUAGCUCGGCGAAAGCCGGAUUAAUACCGCAUACGACCUGAGGGUGAAAGCGGGGGAUCUUCGGACCUCGCGCUAUUGGAGCGGCCGAUGGCAGAUUAGCUAGUUGGUGGGGUAAAGGCCUACCAAGGCGACGAUCUGUAGCUGGUCUGAGAGGACGACCAGCCACACUGGGACUGAGUCACGGCCCAGACUCCUACGGGAGGCAGCAGUGGGGAAUUUUGGACAAUGGGCGAAAGCCUGAUCCAGCAAUGCCGCGUGUGUGAUGAAGGCCUUCGGGUUGUAAAGCACUUUUGGCGGGAACGAAAAGGACUGUGCCAAUACCACGGUUCGAUGACGGUACCCGCAGAAUAAGCACCGGCUAACUACGUG
rnacentral:rRNA from 1 species